rnacentral:tRNA from 1 species
GAAGUGAUAGCGUAGUCGGUAACAUGUCUGCUUUUCAAUCUAAAGGUUCCCGGUUCGAUCCCUCACGACG